rnacentral:rRNA from 1 species
AGUCGAGGGGUAGAGUUCUUCGGAAUUUGAGACCGGCGCACGGGUGCGUAACGCGUAUGCAAUCUACCUUUUACAGAGGGAUAGCCCAGAGAAAUUUGGAUUAAUACCUCAUAGUAUAAUGACCCGGCAUCGGGAUAUUAUUAAAGUCACAACGGUAAAAGAUGAGCAUGCGUCCCAUUAGCUAGUUGGUAAGGUAACGGCUUACCAAGGCUACGAUGGGUAGGGGUCCUGAGAGGGAGAUCCCCCACACUGGUACUGAGACACGGACCAGACUCCUACGGGAGGCAGCAGUGAGGAAUAUUGGACAAUGGGCGCAAGCCUGAUCCAGCCAUGCCGCGUGCAGGAUGACGGUCCUAUGGAUUGUAAACUGCUUUUAUACGAGAAGAAACACUACUUCGUGAAGUAGCUUGACGGUAUCGUAAGAAUAAGGAUCGGCUAACUCCGUGCCAGCAGCCGCGGUAAUACGGAGGAUCCAAGCGUUAUCCGGAAUCAUUGGGUUUAAAGGGUCCGUAGGCGGUUUAAUAAGUCAGUGGUGAAAGCCCAUCGCUCAACGGUGGAACGGCCAUUGAUACUGUUAAACUUGAAUUAUUAGGAAGUAACUAGAAUAUGUAGUGUAGCGGUGAAAUGCUUAGAGAUUACAUGGAAUACCAAUUGCGAAGGCAGGUUACUACUAAUGGAUUGACGCUGAUGGACGAAAGCGUGGGUAGCGAACAGGAUUAGAUACCCUGGUAGUCCACGCCGUAAACGAUGGAUACUAGCUGUUGGAAGCAAUUUCAGUGGCUAAGCGAAAGUGAUAAGUAUCCCACCUGGGGAGUACGUUCGCAAGAAUGAAACUCAAAGGAAUUGACGGG